rnacentral:lncRNA from 1 species
UUGUACUCUAUAGGUGUAAUAUAAAUUAUAAUACAUUCUGCUGUCAUAUAUAACAAAUUAGAAUAAAAAAUAAUUAAAAAAAAAAAGAAAUGAGUGAAAUGAAGAGAUGCACCAGGAAGAAGUAGAGAAAGAAAAAUCAGAGCAGUGAAAGAACCAGUUAGGAAAGAGCAGUGAUCUAGAAACUAAGGAAAGAAAGAGUUUUACAGCUGAAAUGGUGAAGUGCUGGGUGUAGUUGGCAAUUUGGACUUCACUAUUGUCUUAAUAGAGAUAGGAAAUGAAAGUUAGAUUUUCAGGCAUUUAGGAGAUAGUGUUAAUUGAGGACACAAAAGCAGUAUCAUCGGGCUGGGAAUGUGGCUCAAGCAGUAGCGCGCUCACCUGGCAUGCCCGAGCGGCCCAGGUUCGAUCCUCAGCACCACAUACAAACAAAGAUGUUGUGUCUGCUGAGAACUAAAAAAUAAAUAUUAAAAUUCUCUCUCUCUCUCUCUCAAAAAAAAAAAAAAAAAAAAAAAAGCAGUAUCAUAUACUCUUUAAAUGUCUUGGAGAUUAGCAACAAUAGGCCUAUCUCUUGGGUUAUCCAAUUUAGAUAGCUUUCCUGGGCUUUAGAGUACAACUUUUUUCUGAAGAUUUAAUAAUGUUGAUAAUGACUUUAACAAAUUAAGUAACAGUUUUGUGAUUAACCAUAGUCCAAAAAGCCUAUGAAAAAUACAGAUAAUGGGCAGUUACAUGUUGGUUGUGUUGUCCCAGGCUUCUCUCUUCUGAGGACACCCUUGCUUUUAAUUCUGUAGUAGCUCAUAUCAUUGCUUUAUAAUUAUCUUUUUAAAGAUCCUUUUUUUUGUUGUGCAUUCUUAAUACUUGGCCAUAAUGCCUGACAAAUAGUGUUGAGUGUUGUGUGAAUGAUUGUCAGAUAAAUCACAAAAUAUUUCUAAUUUGGUGGUCUUUUAGGAUUAAAAAUGUAGAAUAUUUGAGGAAAGAAGAACUGAUAAACAGUUUCAAAUGGCAGUAAGAAAAGGUUUGAAAACUGACCUUUAUGUUUGACUUUUAGAAAGUCAUUGGUUUCUAAGUAUUAUAGCAAAAUUGUUGGGAUAGAAGUCAAAUUAGGGCUUGAAAAAUAAAUGAGAAGUGAGAACAAAGAAACCAGAUAGAAGUGGUUUUUUUUAAUUUUUUAAUUAAAAAAAUUUUGAAACUAAAGGGAAGAAACCAUUGGAGAGGAAACUAAAAAUUUAAAAGAGUAGAGUUCUUUAUCAUUGGCAGCUUUAUGAAUUUGUUUUGCAUAUAUCUAAGUACUUCCUCCAGUUC